AUACGGAGGGUGCAAGCGUUAAUCGGAAUUACUGGGCGUAAAGCGUGCGUAGGUGGUUUGUUACGUUAGAUGUGAAAGCCCCGGGCUCAACCUGGGAACUGCAUUUGAAACUGGCAUACUAGAGUAUAGGAGAGGAAAGUGGAAUUUCAGGUGUAGCGGUGAAAUGCGUAGAUAUCUGAAGGAACAUCAAUGGCGAAGGCAGCUUUCUGGACUAAUACUGACACUGAGGUACGAAAGCGUGGGUAGCAAACAGGAUUAGAUACCCUAGUAGUCC
rnacentral:rRNA from 1 species